UACGUAGGUGACAAGCGUUGUCCGGAUUUACUGGGUGUAAAGGGUGCGUAGGCGGGAUAGCAAGUCAGUCGUGAAAUGCCGAGGCUUAACCUCGGAGCUGCGAUUGAAACUGUUAUUCUUGAGUAUCGGAGAGGAAAGCGGAAUUCCUAGUGUAGCGGUGAAAUGCGUAGAUAUUAGGAGGAACACCAGUGGCGAAGGCGGCUUUCUGGACGACAACUGACGCUGAGGCGCGAAAGCUGGGGGAGCGAACAGG
rnacentral:rRNA from 1 species